CCUACGGGAAGGCAGCAGUAGGGAAUUUUCGGCAAUGGGCGCAAGCCUGACCGAGCAACGCCGCGUGAGUGAUUAAGGCCUUCGGGUUGUAAAGCUCUGUUGUAAGGGAAGAACAUUCAGGAUAGGAAAUGAUCUUGAACUGACGGUACCUUACCAGAAAGCCACGGCUAACUACGUGCCAGCAGCCGCGGUAAUACGUAGGUGGCAAGCGUUAUCCGGAAUUAUUGGGCGUAAAGGGUGCGUAGGCGGUUUAUUAAGUSUAUGGUGAAAGUGCGGGGCUCAACCCCGUAUGGCCAUAGAAACUGGUAGACUUGAGUGCAGGAGAGGGCAAUGGAAUUCCAUGUGUAGCGGUAAAAUGCGUAGAUAUAUGGAGGAACACCAGUGGCGAAGGCGGUUGCCUGGCCUGUAACUGACGCUGAAGCACGAAAGCGUGGGGAGCAAAUAGGAUUAGAUACCCUAGUAGUCCACGCCGUAAACGAUGAAUACUAAGUGUUGGAGAAAUUCAGUGCUGCAGUAACGCAAUAAGUAUCCGCC
rnacentral:rRNA from 1 species